GAAAUGCGAUAAGUAAUGUGAAUUGCAGAAUUCAGUGAAUCAUCGAAUCUUUGAACGCACCUUGCGCUCCUUGGUAUUCCUUGGAGCAUGCCUGUGUGAGUAUCAUGAAAUCUUCAAAGUAAAUCUUUUGUUAACUCAAUUGGUUUCUACUUUGGUAUUGGAGGUCUUUGCAGCUUCACACCUGCUCCUCUUUGUUCAUUAGCUGGAUCUCAGUGUUAUGCUUGGUUCCACUCGGCGUGAUAAGUUAUCUAUCGCUGAGGACACUGUAAAAGGUGGCCAAGGUAAAUGCAGAUGAACCGCUUCUAAUAGUCCAUUGACUUGGACAAUACUUUUAUGAUCUGAUCUCAAAUCAGGUAGGACUACCCGCUGAACUUAAGC
rnacentral:misc_RNA from 1 species